rnacentral:rRNA from 1 species
AGAGUUUGAUCCUGGCUCAGAUUGAACGCUGGCGGAAUGCUUUACACAUGCAAGUCGAGCGGCAGCGCGGGGGCAACCCUGGCGGCGAGCGGCGAACGGGUGAGUAACAUAUCGGAACGUACCCAGUUGUGGGGGAUAGCCCGGCGAAAGCCGGAUUAAUACCGCAUACGACCUGAGGGUGAAAGGGGGGGAUCGCAAGACCUCUCGCAGUUGGAGCGGCCGAUGGCGGAUUAGCUAGUUGGUAGGGUAAAGGCCUACCAAGGCGACGAUCCGUAGCUGGUCUGAGAGGACGACCAGCCACACUGGAACUGAGACACGGUCCUGACUCCUACGGGAGGCAGCAGUGGGGAAUUUUGGACAAUGGGGGCAACCCUGAUCCAGCCAUUCCGCGUGAGUGAAGAAGGCCUUCGGGUUGUAAAGCUCUUUCGGCAGGAACGAAACGGUGGUCCCUAAUACGGAUUGCUAAUGACGGUACCUGAAGAAGAAGCACCGGCUAACUACGUGCCAGCAGCCGCGGUAA